GACGGAGGGUGCAAGCGUUGUUCGGAAUCACUGGGCGUAAAGCGCGUGUAGGCGGUUGAAUAAGUCGGAUGUGAAAGCCCGGAGCUUAACUCCGGAAGUGCAUUCGAAACUGCUCGGCUCGAGUACGGGAGAGGGAAGUGGAAUUCCUGGUGUAGAGGUGAAAUUCGUAGAUAUCAGGAGGAAAACCGGUGGCGAAGGCGGCUUCCUGGACCGAUACUGACGCUGAGACGCGACAGCGUGGGGAGCAAACAGG
rnacentral:rRNA from 1 species